rnacentral:tRNA from 1 species
AAGGCUCUAUCUUAAUUAAAGAGAUGGACUUGCAAUUCAUUGCUGUGGGUUAUACUCCCACGAGUCUUA